UCUAAUAUGGCAGAUUAGUGCAUUGGAUUUAAGCUCCAAUUAUAAAGUUAACUUACUUUUUUUAGAA
rnacentral:tRNA from 1 species